rnacentral:misc_RNA from 1 species
UUUAUCUUCACCAAGACAAGUCAAGUGUCUAAACUUGGUCCCGAUUUUGUGACACUGGAUUGGAAAUCACUGUCUUCAGAUGGAGGCUCCAAGGUGACAGGGUAUGUGGUGAAUCAGAAGAGAGGCUCUGAUGGUGACUGGGAGGAGGUGGCCACUCUAAAGGCCAUUGAGACGUCUUACAAGGUCCCCAAACUUGAUGAAGACCAAGAGUAUUUCUUUUCUAUAACUGCCCUGAACCAGAACGGACAAGGAGAAACCUGUUAACUGGACACGUCUGUUGUUCCAAAGAGACCUCCAGAAAAAACCGUCGCCACCAGUUGGUCCAGUCAUACUCUCAGACAUUCAGAAAACCUCUUUGGUGUUAGCCUGGAAACCCAGCAAGAGUGAUGGCAGAUCUCCUCUAACAGCUUACUAUAUUGAAAUGAGGGACCCUAAUAAUGGAUCCUGGUCUGCAGUCACCAAAGUGACCCCAGACAUCACCAGCUACUGUUUCUUAUGAUUUUGUUUUAAGAUUGUCUAGAAAUGGUGUUUGGAACUGGAGAUAAAGAAGAUCCCCCAAGCAAAGAACUUAAAAAGCAAAGAGGUUUUAAAAGAAUAAGUGGAAAAAGAAAACCUAAUGAACAGCAGCUGAGAAAGCAGCAGUUAAGAGGCAAAUGGGCCAGUUUUUAAAUCUAAGGACCCUGCCAAAAAAACAUGACUGUGACCUGGCUCUUCAAAAAGAAGAGAGUUUGAAAAAUUGAACCUGGAAACAAGUCAAAGACUUUGUUAGAAAUACAAACUUGAAGCUACUUAAACAGUAGGAUUCAAAAAUGAAAUGUAUGAAGUUUUUAGUGUAAAUUGACUUGUUUCUAUAAUGAAAAGAAAUUUUAUAAUAUUCAGAACUAGAGACAGAUCAGAAAUGUAGUAUAUGUGCAUUGAUUUACUUGUUAGUUUUCUAGAGAGAGAGACAGAGGAGCUUUUGCUUUUGCUUUAAAAGUAAUUUUUAGUAUCUUUAUAAUGAUUUUGAAUAUUCAUUGUAAUAGUGGUUGUCUUAUGAAGAAAUUUUUAUGACAAGUAAAAUAAAGCUGUAAGCUCAGCUGUUAGCCUUCAUGAUACACAUAAACCUGAUAAAAGCCUUUUUAUAGUGACAGACUUGGUGUCUCAUGUAUAUCAUGUUGGACUGCCUAGUGACAUGAAUGCUAAAAAAUUGAUGAAAAUAAUGCCAGAUCUUAGCUGUUAUAUACAUGUAUUUAAUGAUCUUUCCAUAUGAAAUAUUUACUACAUAUAUGUACAAUAUCCUUAAGGAUUUAACCAUUUCAUGCUCUGUUUUGCAUGUACUUGAAGUUAAAAUGAAGGUGAAUUUGGAAUGAUAAAGAUCUACAGCAAGAGCGUAGUUGGCUAAGCUAUUGUUAAUUACGGUAAAUGAAUUCAGUCAAUGUUAUCUAUUUUAUAUUAAGAAUGAAUUUGCUAUGCUUAGUGUUCAAUUAGCUCUUGUUGAUAAAAGAAAUGUUAUUAAAGUUGUAUUUUGCC